UACGUAGGGUGCGAGCGUUAAUCGGAAUUACUGGGCGUAAAGCGUGCGCAGGCGGUGAGCUGUGUCCGGAUGUGAAAGCCCCCGGGCUUAACCUGGGAAUGGCAUUGGAAACUGGCUCGCUGGAGUGUGGCAGAGGGGGGUGGAAUUCCGCGUGUAGCAGUGAAAUGCGUAGAGAUGCGGAGGAACACCGAUGGCGAAGGCAGCCCCCUGGGCUAACACUGACGCUCAGGCACGAAAGCGUGGGGAGCAAACAGG
rnacentral:rRNA from 1 species